AGAGUUUGAUCAUGGCUCAGGAUAAACGCUGGCGGCGUGCCUAACACAUGCAAGUCGAACGCCCACCGCAAGGUGGGAGUGGCGGACGGGUGAGGAACACGUGGGUUAUCUGCCCUGGGGUGAGGAAUACCGGCGAGAAAUCGCCGACAAUACCGCAUACGUUUCGCGAGAAACAAAGUCGCAAGACGCCCUGGGAUGAG
rnacentral:rRNA from 1 species